rnacentral:rRNA from 1 species
UGUCGUUUGCUCGGAAAAACACGACCCCUGUGCACGUAACCUAAUCCACCGCUGCCGGGGGGGCGCCGCCUCCUCGGCCCACCGGCCACGGCCCUCGCCCGGGCCGUGCGCCGGAAAUACGGCGCGGUCUGCGCCAAGGAACACGAUACGCUGAGGCGGCCGGCGGAGCGCGCUCCGCCCUGCCGUCGAUGCAAAUGAAUACAUGAUGACUCUCGGCAACGGAUAUCUCGGCUCUCGCAUCGAUGAAAAACGUAACGAAAUGCGAUACGUGGUGUGAAUUGCAGAAUCCCGCGAACCAUCGAUUCUUUGAACGCAAGUUGCGCCCGAGGGAUCCGCCCGAGGGCACGCCUGCCUGGGCGUUAGAAGCCCAUCCCCGUUGGGGGUUUGUUCAGCCCCGAGGGGGCCCGGGGCCUUCCGAGCCCGAGCGCCCCGGUGGGCUUAAGUGCGCGGCCCCCGGGAGGACCCGGGAGCGGGGAGUGGGGGACCGCUGGGUCCCCCGCCCCUUGCCCCUUGCCGCCAGAGGCCCUUGGAGGACCUUGGAAGGAGGACCGGUCCCUGCGAGGCGCGGCCCUUUCGGAUCGAUACCCCCGAGAUACACAAACCCCA